UGCGAAGGUAGCAUAAUCACUUGUUCUUUAAAUGAGGACCUGUAUCAACGGCAUCACGAGGAUUCUACUGUCUCCCCCCUCUAAUCAGUGAAACUAAUCUCCCCGUGAAGAAGCGGGGAUAAACAUAUAAGACGAGAAGACCCCAUGGAGCUUUAAACCUGACGACACCCACUUGCUCUACACCCCAUUAUCCACGUGGCCCCUGUCUGCUCAGUUUUAGGUUGGGGUGACCACGGAGUAUAAAAAAACCUCCAUGAGAGAAGGGAUAAGUUCCCUUAUUAAAGAAUUACCUUUCCAAAAACUAAUAAAUUAAUUUUUAAUGAUCCGACAAUCGAUCAACG
rnacentral:rRNA from 1 species